AAGUCGUAACAAGGUUUCCGUAGGUGAACCUGCGGAAGGAUCAAUACGAAGAGAGAGAGAGUGGGGAUUUGUUGAAUUAUGUUAUAUUAUAACAAUUGACAACACUAUACACACACACAUUUUACAACUCAUAACAAUGGAUCUCUGGGCUCUU
rnacentral:misc_RNA from 1 species